rnacentral:lncRNA from 10 species
UGGAGGAGGGACAGACAGAGGAGGCUCGUGCAGGGGAACGCCAGCCAAGGAGGGAGCGCCUGCUCCAAGGGAGGGGGCAUUUGAGGCACAGAUCAAAUGAUUCCAUGAUGACAAACUGCCUGUCUCAACUGACCAGAUUCCACUGGCAAACACUCCGCUGACCUUGGGCAGCUCCCUCUGCUCCCACCUCCUCUGGCCCUUGUGCUUCUGGGGCUUUGUGGAGUAGCUGGACAUCAAUGAUAACACUAACAGUAGCCGGCCUGCCACCAAGUUCUUUACAUAGGGGAUGCCUAUGUCUGUGCUUCAUUGGCGUCAUCUCACAAGGCCCUGAGCUGGCAGGAAAUUGAGGUCUCAAGGGGAAAAGCCACCUGCCCCCAGUGACAACCAGGAAGUGCAAGACUCUGACCCAACGCCCAUGCCUGCCAUCCCCAAACAUGGGCUCAAAACCCCCUUCCCAGGGACGGCUGUGUCCACCCCUCAGCAGGAGGAGGAGACCCCACAGCACCGGGUGAGAGGUCAGUGCUGAAGCCAGGGAGGCAGCUCUCAGCAGGGCACCUGUGUGGAGCCAGGGAAGCCAGGGCCACACUUGCAGGGUGAAGUGGGGAACUCGGAAGGCUGGGCAGUGGAGCAAAAUGCUUGGUGCCCUGCGGGAACCGGUGGCCAAGGCUACACUGGGAUGAAGGGAGCCGUGGAGCUGCAGAAUCUGCGGGUGGCCCUCAGUGGCAGGCAGCCAGGCCAACAGGGGCUUUGGGCUGCAGGUCAGCCCCUCCCCUGCUCUGGAACUUUUGGAGGGCCAUUACAAAGGACAUCAGCCCCAAGAUACUCCUCUGAAAUUCUGCCUGAAAGGCCCUUCACAUUCCCUAAUUGGCACUUACAACAUUCCAGAACAUUCUAUGGUACCUUAAGUUUCUCCUCCCCCUCCAAAGGGCCCUUGAACCUUAAGGAUAGGGCAGAAGGGGCUCCUCACCCUGGCCUCGAGGGCUUAAGAUCCAGCUGAGGACUCCUAGCCUCCCUGUGUGCUGGGCAGGAAAGUAGCUCCAUGUCACUGCUGUCCCUGGGAAAGGAAAAAAGGUUGAGGAAGGGCUCAGAGCCAGCCUUCAGACCAGGCAGGAAGGGUUCAGAGCCAGCCUUCAGGCCAUGCAGGCCUCCUGGAUGUGCUUACUAACUCUGGGCUCGCUGUUCUCUGAGCUGGCUGGGAGUUCCCCUCUGCACCCCCGUUUCCUCCCCUGUAAGGUGGGAAUAAUAGCGUAUGUCUCUAGGAUUAAGUGAGCCAGUCAUGCAUGGGCCGAGAACCAGGUUUGGCAUAUUGUAGCUGCUCAGUGGACGUUAGCUGUUAUGAUUGGACCACAACGUGCUUCCGUUUCAAUUCUGUGGGCCUUUUGGAGGUCCUGCUGGAUGCUAAGCACCGAAACCUCAACCCGGAACAAGACCAGAACAACCUGAGCAACAACAGGACCAGCGAUGGCUCUCCCUGCUGGAGGAUUCUGGAAGUCACCUGGCUGGACCAAGCCCUCUCCGUGUUCUCUGUCAGCCCACUCCCCAGAGCCGCUAGGCCUGAUGUGCACAAGCAGACUAAUAAAGGCUUGAGGACAAAAAG